GAAGUUGAAAGUUUACCAAACACAAAAAACUCCUAUCUUUUUUUGACACCCAUUUUUUUCAAAAAUACCUCAGAACCAAACUAGUACUUUGUCUCAACGAAAAUGCUUAUAUGCUUUAUAAUUCUGAUUGCAUUGAAUACUGGAAACUUCAGUUCUAGUGUAGUGAAAUAUUUGCUGUGCUCAAGGUUUGUAUUCUACUACCGGAGCCGUGGUUUCUGUUUUUGUUUCAACAAAUCUGUAAAGGUUUGCCAGAUGCGUCCAUUCUUAAACAGUUUCGGAACCCUUGCGUGCAACAGCUCUGUAUUUCACGGGUUUUUGUAGGAAAACAGUGGCGGAGAAACAAAACAUGUGAGAGCGAGGAAGGAGGACUUAUUGCUUUUGAUGAGAGGGUCCGAUUCCAUAGCUCACUUCGCCUCAGCUCUCCAACACUUUGGAUAAUGCUCUUCAGGGUACGAACAUGUAUUGAGUACAAACGCUUACAAAUGACCCAUGUGGUGUAUGAGACCGAUCAGACGGUGUAGAACACCGCUCAGUGUGCCAUGAUGAUGGGAGCCAUCGAUCUAGCUAAGCCACCCAUAUUGACAGAGAUAUUCCAGAGCCACCUGAGCAACUCGGAGACAGAGUAAAGAGAAGGAAUCGGAAGAACAGCAGAAUGCAGAAAAUUCCGGUGUAAGAUUGAAGAGGAAAUUCGACAACAGUCAUUGCUCAGAUGUGCAAGGAGCAAGGACCGAAUGGCGGGAAGCUGAAGAAAGCAAAAAAUCUUGCAAUUUCAAUGGCAACAAAAGCAGCUUUGUUUGCCCAGGAACUCAAGUCGAUAAGAUCGGAUUUAUGCUUUAUGCAGGUGCGCUGUGCUCUGCUGGAGGAGGAGAAUCGAAGGCUCCGAGAUGGGCAGUAUAAAGGGUUGAGGCCUAACGAAGAUGAUCUGGUGAGGCUUCAGUUGGAGGCACUGCUGCUAGCUGAGAAGUCAAGGCAAGCAAAUGAAAAUUCGAACCUGGUUAGGGAAAAUCAAUGCCUCCACCAGGUUGCGGAGUAUCACCAGCUCACCUGCUUCAUUUGAACAAGUUGUACAAUGGUUGCGCCUAGACUUUCCGUCUCCACCACGCGGACAGCAGACGAGGGAAAUGGUGAAGAUGGCGAUGCUGCUGCUGAAAAUGAAGUUUCUCAGACAUCAAGAAGUAAUCUUUUCGGCUUCUCUGCCUCGCUUGAUGAUGAGUGUUCUCAUGGAGAUGACUAGCGGAGUGUUCUCAUGGAAAAUUUCAAAUGGUGGCAAUCAAAUACUUUUAUGCU